rnacentral:misc_RNA from 1 species
GAUGAAGAACGCAGCGAAAUGCGAUAAGUAAUGUGAAUUGCAGAAUUCAGUGAAUCAUCGAAUCUUUGAACGCACAUUGCGCCCGCCAGUAUUCUGGCGGGCAUGCCUGUCCGAGCGUCAUUUCAACCCUCGAACCCCUCCGGGGGGUCGGCGUUGGGGAUCGGGAACCCCUAAGACGGGAUCCCGGCCCCGAAAUACAGUGGUGGUCUCGCCGCAGCCUCUCCUGCGCAGUAGUUUGCACAACUCGCACCGGGAGCGCGGCGCGUCCACGUCCGUAAAACACCCAACUUCUGAAAUGUUGACCUCGGAUCAGGUAGGAAUACCCGCUGAACUUAAGCAUAUCAAUAAGCGGAGGA